GUCUCUGUGGCGCAAUCGGUUAGCGCGUUCGGCUGUUAACCGAAAGGCUGGUGGUUCUAGCCCACCCAGGGACG
rnacentral:tRNA from 1 species